rnacentral:tRNA from 1 species
GCCGGGGUAGCUCAGUGGUUAGAGCAAUGCCUUCAUAAGGCAGGGGUCGUGAGUUCAACUCUCACCCUCGGCA